AUGGCCGGCCCGACCAGUUCGGACCAGUUCAGACCAGUUCCUUAUCAGCGCGUCCCAGCCAAACCCCCCGCGGCUGCUGGGGAUGUUCCGGGCCACGGGAAGUGCCGGGAGGUGACAGACGGACAAACGGACGCGCUGCGAGGUGACAGCGGCUCCUCCGGCAUGGCAGCAAAGCGGAUCCCGCAGCUCCUGGGCCCCUCGGGCAGGAUGUUCCCCCCGCCGGGCUGCNNNNNNNNNNNNNNNNNNNNCUUGGAGCUCUCCUGGAGCUCUACUGGGGUUCCCUUGGAGCUCUCCUGGAGCUCUCCUGGGGUUCCCCUGGAGCUCUCCUGGGGCUCACCUGGGGCUCUCCUGGGGUUCCCCUUGAGCUCCCCUGGGACUCUCCUGGGGGUGGGGCUGGGAGCCCAGCAUCCCCCAAGACCACCCUGGGUACCCACUCCUCCAUCUCCAUCCCUGGGGAUGCUGAGGAGCCCGGAGAACAUGGGUGCUGCAGGUUUUGGGGAGGAACCCGGGAUUAUCUGGGCUCUCCCAGGGCAGCCGGGGGGAUCCUGGCUCCCCAUCCCUGCCGAGGCUGCUCUGGGCUCUCACAGCUCCCAUCUCUCCACAGCCCGCCCCGUGGUGGGAUGGACCGUGGCCAGGUCACCCUGGUGGCCCCGAGGACGCCUGGGAUGGGCCACCCUGGGAGGAGCAGCCCAGGAGACGCCGGCGCAGGAGGUGCCCACCCAGCUCCAGAACCUUCCCUGGGCCUGGGGACGGCCCCUGGAACGAGGAGGAGGGGGACAGGAGGUGGGCACCCCCCGGGUGUCCCCUGCCACCCCCCUGGGGUGACAGAGAAGCCGUCCCAGGAGCCGAGGAUGACUUUGGAGAGUGCUGGUACCGGGAUCCCCCGCCUGACCCCUGGCCCGAGUACCCCGAGGAGGAGCAGCCCCAGCCCUGGUCCCCCUCCGGCUCUCCAGGGUGGGUGCCAUGCCCGGGGGGGUGACAAUGAGUGACACCAGCACCGCUGGGA
rnacentral:lncRNA from 1 species